rnacentral:rRNA from 1 species
UUUGAUCAUGGCUCAGAUUGAACGCUGGCGGCAGGCCUAACACAUGCAAGUCGAGCGGAAACGACAACACUGAAUCUUUGGAGGAUGGGUUGGGUGUCGAGCGGCGGACGGGUGAGUAAUGCCUAGGAAGUUGCCCAAUAGAGGGGGAUAACCAUUGGAAACGAUGGCUAAUACCGCAUAAUCUCCUUGGAGCAAAGCAGGGGACCGAAUGGCCUUGCGCUAUUGGAUAUGCCUAGGUGAGAUUAGCUUGUUGGUGAGGUAAUGGCUCACCAAGGCGACGAUCUCUAGCUGGUCUGAGAGGAUGAACAGCCACACUGGAACUGAGACACGGUCCAGACUCCUACGGGAGGCAGCAGUGGGGAAUAUUGCACAAUGGGCGCAAGCCUGAUGCAGCCAUGUCGCGUGUGUGAAGAAGGCCUUAGGGUUGUAAAGCACUUUCAACAGUAAGGAAGGAUGUAUGCUUAAUACGUAUAUAUUUUGACGUUAGCUGUAGAAGAAGCACCGGCUAACUCCGUGCCAGCAGCCGCGGUAAUACGGAGGGUGCGAGCGUUAAUCGGAAUUACUGGGCGUAAAGCGCAUGCAGGUGGUUCGAUAAGUCAGAUGUGAAAGCCCGGGGCUUAACCUCGGAACUGCAUUUGAAACUAUAGAGCUGGAGUACUGUAGAGGGGGGUGGAAUUUCAGGUGUAGCGGUGAAAUGCGUAGAGAUCUGAAGGAAUACCGGUGGCGAAGGCGGCCCCCUGGACAGAUACUGACACUCAGAUGCGAAAGCGUGGGGAGCAAACAGGAUUAGAUACCCUGGUAGUCCACGCUGUAAACGAUGUCUACUUGGAGGUUGUGGCUUUGAGCUGUGGCUUUCGUAGCUAACGCGUUAAGUAGACCGCCUGGGGAGUACGGUCGCAAGAUUAAAACUCAAAUGAAUUGACGGGGGCCCGCACAAGCGGUGGAGCAUGUGGUUUAAUUCGAUGCAACGCGAAGAACCUUACCUACUUUUGACAUCCAAAGAAGCCAGUGGAGACAUUGGUGUGCCUUCGGGAACUUUGAGACAGGUGCUGCAUGGCUGUCGUCAGCUCGUGUUGUGAAAUGUUGGGUUAAGUCCCGCAACGAGCGCAACCCUUAUCCUUGUUUGCCAGCGAGUAGUGUCGGGAACUUCAGGGAGACUGCCGGUGAUAAACCGGAGGAAGGUGGGGACGACGUCAAGUCAUCAUGGCCCUUACAAGUAGGGCUACACACGUGCUACAAUGGCACAUACAGAGGGUUGCAAACUAGCGAUGGUAAGCGAAUCCCAAAAAGUGUGUCGUAGUCCGGAUUGGAGUCUGCAACUCGACUCCAUGAAGUCGGAAUCGCUAGUAAUCGUAGAUCAGAACGCUACGGUGAAUACGUUCCCGGGCCUAGUUUAACUUUCGAGAGGACGCUCAA